rnacentral:rRNA from 1 species
UACGGGGGGGCAAGCGUUGUUCGGAAUUACUGGGCGUAAAGGGCUCGUAGGCGGCCAACUAAGUCAGACGUGAAAUCCCUCGGCUUAACCGGGGAACUGCGUCUGAUACUGGAUGGCUUGAGUGUGGGAGAGGAAUGCGGAAUUCCAGGUGUAGCGGUGAAAUGCGUAGAUAUCUGGAGGAACACCGGUGGCGAAGGCGGCAUUCUGGACCAUUACUGACGCUGAGGAGCGAAAGCCAGGGGAG